rnacentral:rRNA from 1 species
AGAGUUUGAUCAUGGCUCAGAAUCAACGCUGGCGGCGUGCCUAAUACAUGCAAGUCGAACGCGAAAGUGGAGCAAUCCAUGAGUAGAGUGGCAAACGGGUGAGUAACGCGUGGGUGACCUGCCUUCGAGUGGGGGAUAACGUUCCGAAAGGGACGCUAAUACCGCAUGACAUCCUGCCUUUUAAAAGGUGGAGAUCAAAGCUGGGGAUCGCAAGACCUGGCGCUUGAAGAGGGGCCCGCGUCCGAUUAGCUAGUUGGUGGGGUAACGGCUCACCAAGGCGACGAUCGGUAGCCGGCCUGAGAGGGCGGACGGCCACACUGGGACUGA